CUUAAAAGCCGGUCGAAGCUGUUGUAUAGAGUCGGUUAGUGCGCGAACGUUGUGGGAAUUUUUAUUUAUUGGUGCUCGCUACCAACAAUAACAACAACAACACGUUGUCGAAGUGAAGUGCAUACGAAUUUUUUCGAUUUACGAAGUUUUAAAGUUGAAAUAGCAAAAGUGCAGCGCAGUGAAUUUGGCUUUCUUAUGCGAGGAAGAAUAAAAAAAAUUGGCGCAUUAAACAAUUACAGCGAAUAAAAUUUACAAUUGCCCGCAUUUUUGUUUACAUUUGCAUGCCGAGCCAAAAAAAAAAUAAUAAUUUUCCGCUGUGAAAGGUGAAUAAUACAAAGCGCAUACGAAGUGAUGUAAAGCAACAAACGAAAUUAAAGUGAAGUACCUACAUAUUUAACGACACCAAAAGUGAUGAUGCCGAGGCCAAAGAAUAAGCAAAGGCAGUAAGUGAAGAGAAGUGAAAGAAAGUAACACGAAACUAGUGUGUUUGGGUAGCAAAAACGAGGAAGAAGAAGCAGAAGACAAGCAAACCAAGAGUCGAAAAUGUAGAAGUGUGGAGGCGCAGUGCAAAUGCAAUUGGAGUAAAUACACACACAUAAACAUACAUAUGCAUAUGCAUGAGUCUUAUUCAAGCGAAUGAGCACAGUGAUGCGCUUUGCAAUUGUUACAAUUUAAUUUAAUUGGAGUGCUCAACAAAUGAGGUGAAAAAUAAUAACAAAACAACAAAAAGAAAAGAAUAAUAACAAAAGCGAAGCAAAUACGUAUGUGAAUUGUGUGCUAAGAAUACAUAAAAAAUUGCUAUAAAUCAAGUGUUAUUAAUGUGAGCGGAAAGUGUAAUUGAAACAAAGUAAAAAAAAUUUAAAUAAAGUGAAAACAUUUUAAACAAAGUUGAAAAAAGUUUAAACAAAGUGCAAAACAAAAAAAAAAUUAUAAUAAUAAUUAACUGAAUAAAUAGUGGAAUAAUAUUAGCAAAUUGGCAGCUAGCUUGUGUUAGUGCUAAUGAAAACAUGCAAAUUAAUACUCAAACAUAAAAGCAAUUCUCGACACCUUUAAUGCGAAAGCUCUCCAAUUGUCUGGUUGAACGCGCAAUUCGUCUUUAUUGCAACAAAAGCCAAAAACAAAGAAUUCUCCGUAAAGUGCUUACAGAAACGUGUUAUUUAAGCGGUGUGAAUUUAUAAAUACACAAACAUACACAUAUCUGUGUAUUCUGGUGCUUGUGAGCUUAAGGUUAAACCAACAGUUACUCGCGAUCGAUUGCAUUUUUGUGGAUUUAAGCAAAAUUUUAAAUUCGUUGGAAAAUAAAUUCGUUAAGUGGUGGCUUCUUUAAGCAAAAUUUGUGUCGAUUAUAUACACACACAUACACAUAUGCAUACAUGUGAAUGUACAGCGAGACAACAGGUUAUUUGCUUGUGAGUAAUUUAUUAAAGAACAAAUUGAUCUCCGUACUCCAACAGAUUUCAUCCACAAUCAACAAUAGCGAUAUUAGAUUCAACAAAAACAAAUUUGAUGAGAUAAACACGACAGAAAACUUCAAUAGAGUUUUUUUUUUAUCGAUAACUACAAUUGGUCAUCAAUUUACUUAGAUUUUUUGAGUAUUUCCUCAAUACUCACACACACGUACGCUAUUUGAUCUCACAAGCGCUAUUCGAUUGUAACGGGAGUUGUUUUGCGCUGGCGGAUCAAAGCAGCUGUUGCUCCAAGCGACACACAGACACCACCACACACACUCAUAUAUACAUGAACGGCGCAAUAAAUGCACGCAAAUGUGCAACAUUAUCCGCAAAUAUGUAAAAGCCAAUGUCAACAGCGAAACAACCGCCACAGCAACAACAUCUACAAUAACAACAACCACCAACAGCCACCAAUAGCAGCACAGAGCAAAGUAUAAAAGCAGGAAAUCACAUUUUGAGGUAAGUACGCAAUUUGAGUUUACAUA
rnacentral:lncRNA from 1 species